UACGUAGGGGGCAAGCGUUGUUCGGAAUUACUGGGCGUAAAGCGUGCGUAGGCGGUUCGUUAAGUUCGUUGUGAAAGCCCCGGGCUCAACCUGGGAAUGGCAAUGGAAACUGGCGGGCUGGAGUAUGGCAGAGGGGGGGUGGAAUUCCGCGUGUAGCAGUGAAAUGCGUAGAGAUGCGGAGGAACACCGAUGGCGAAGGCAGCCCCCUGGGCCAAUACUGACGCUGAGGAGCGAAAGCGUGGGGAGCGAACAGG
rnacentral:rRNA from 1 species